rnacentral:rRNA from 1 species
UACGUAGGUGGCGAGCGUUGUCCGGAUUUACUGGGCGUAAAGGGAGCGUAGGCGGACUUUUAAGUGAGAUGUGAAAUACCCGGGCUCAACUUGGGUGCUGCAUUUCAAACUGGAAGUCUAGAGUGCAGGAGAGGAGAAUGGAAUUCCUAGUGUAGCGGUGAAAUGCGUAGAGAUUAGGAAGAACACCAGUGGCGAAGGCGAUUCUCUGGACUGUAACUGACACUGAGGCACGAAAGCGUGGGGAGCAAACAGGAUUAGAUACCCG